rnacentral:rRNA from 1 species
GUAAGGAAUAUUGGUCAAUGGGCGGAAGCCUGAACCAGCCAUGCCGCGUGCAGGAUGACUGCCCUAUGGGUUGUAAACUGCUUUUGUCCAGGAAUAAACCUCUUUACGAGUAGAGAGCUGAAUGUACUGGAAGAAUAAGGAUCGGCUAACUCCGUGCCAGCAGCCGCGGUAAUACGGAGGAUCCGAGCGUUAUCCGGAUUUAUUGGGUUUAAAGGGUGCGUAGGCGGCCUAUUAAGUCAGGGGUGAAAUACGGUGGCUCAACCAUCGCAGUGCCUUUGAUACUGAUGGGCUUGAAUCCAUUUGAAGUGGGCGGAAUAAGACAAGUAGCGGUGAAAUGCAUAGAUAUGUCUUAGAACUCCGAUUGCGAAGGCAGCUCACUAAGCUGGUAUUGACGCUGAUGCACGAAAGCGUGGGGAUCGAACAGGAUUAGAAACCCUAGUAGUCC